rnacentral:rRNA from 1 species
GUGGGGAAUUUUGGACAAUGGGCGCAAGCCUGAUCCAGCCAUUCCGCGUGCAGGAUGAAGGCCUUCGGGUUGUAAACUGCUUUUGUACGGAACGAAAAGCCUCUGGUUAAUACCCGGGGGUCAUGACGGUACCGUAAGAAUAAGCACCGGCUAACUACGUGCCAGCAGCCGCGGUAAUACGUAGGGUGCGAGCGUUAAUCGGAAUUACUGGGCGUAAAGCGUGCGCAGGCGGUGAUGUAAGACAGUUGUGAAAUCCCCGGGCUCAACCUGGGAACUGCAUCUGUGACUGCAUUGCUGGAGUGCGGCAGAGGGGGAUGGAAUUCCGCGUGUAGCAGUGAAAUGCAUAGAUAUGCGGAGGAACACCGAUGGCGAAGGCAAUCCCCUGGGCCUGCACUGACGCUCAUGCACGAAAGCGUGGGGAGCAAACAGGAUUAGAUACCCCAGUAGUCC